UGCUUCGGCCCCGUGGCAGCCGCCCCACCCUGCCCCGCCGGUGGGGCCGGCCCUCGCUCCGUGUGACCCCGCCGCCGUUCGCUCGUGCGACCCUCGCCGCCGUCACCUCUUCUGCACCCCGCGGCGCUGCCCCCCGGCCCCAGGAACGCCACCGUUUCCCCCCGGGGGCGUCCCGCUGGCAGCAGCGCGCCGGCCCCUGGUGCGGGCCGGCAAAACACCCCUUGUCACUUCAUGUCACCUAAAAAAACACCUCCUCUCUUUUACCGCCCCCCCCGAAUGAUUUCUGCCCGGAGUUUCCACCCCUCCGGGCGCAGUGGGAGUAACGCAAAGGUUAACCGUGUCCGGAAAGUACCGCGCCGUGCGGGCCAGGAAAGCCCCGCCGGGCCAAGGUGCGACCUUCGGCGGCCGCCGCCCCUCCCCGCCCGGCCCGGCCCGGCUCCGCUCCCCGGCCGUCCUGCAGCUCGUGCUCCUCUAGAGGGCUCCGCUCCCCGGGGAGGCUGUAGGUGGAGCGUUUUGUCGGCAGGUAAAACCCACCUGGGCUCCUCGCCCUGUCACACGCCGGUGGCCGGGCCCCCGCCCGGCUGCGUUACGGGGUAGGUGUGCCGACCUCGUGUCUCUGAUGGCCCGUCCUGUGGCAUCCCUUCAUUUCUGAUACCAGCAACAGGUGUCGGUGCACGCAGGAUCCUAGAAGGAUCUCUAUGCCUCAUCCAAGUCUGCCUAUGCAGGGUACAAGGUUAGUAAAUCCUGCAAGUGCAGCCAAUGUGAAUAAUGUGCUGUUUCACUGUCUUUACGAAUGAAGGGCUGCAGAAGCCUUUUCAGAUCCUGCGCUAAGCCUUGAAGAGCUAUGGAUGGUUUAGUAUCUGAAUGUCAAAUGUCAGAAACUGAACGUGGUGGGUUUGUUCAAGAGUGCUGAGGAAGAGUUGGCAGUGAAGCAAUCCUGUGGUCCCACUCUUGGGAGUUUUUAGAUGAUGUAUCUUUUUUUUUUUUUUUUUUGCUUCAUUUUGGAAAAAUCCCCUGUUUCAGACAUCUGACUAUCAUUCCUUGAGUGGUCACAGCCCAAAUGGGGAUAUAGGAUGUGAGAAAGCCGUAUGCAAUGACAGUCAGAAAGAAGUGUAGCAUCUACAGGACUUCAAAUCUUGUGGCAUCCUUAACCUAAAAGCUCUAUGAUUUCAGAGGUCACAGUCGCAAACACUGUAGGUAGAGAGCUACAUGUCCCUUGAGAACUCAGUUGGGUGCUAUUUGAAAUAAGAUACAGUGGUGACAGGUGAACUAAACUCAAUUUACUCCUGUUGGGUACUGUAAUGUCUAAUUCCUGGGUCAUGAUGUUGCAAACUUAUGGUGAUUCAAUGUAUCUGAAAAAAAAGGAUUCAGAUGAUACAUGAAGAAAAUCAAGGAAAUGUCUUCAAACAAAAUGCCAGCAGAAGCAAAAGUGGCUGAAACUGGGUUCUCCCUGCUUUGGAUUUUUCACCUGCAUGGUCUAAGAGGUGCUGAUGGGAGGAAGAAUACAGUUAAUAUCCUGUACAGGGCCAUGAAUCCGUGAAGCAACCUGUUUGUGGAAUCUCUGUCCUUGGAGAGAGUUGAAACUCAGCUGAACAUGUUGCCAAGCAGACAGAACUAAUUGGACCUGUUUUGAGCAGGGGGAUGAUUGGGCCUCAGGGGGCUUUUUCUAGCCUAAGUUAUUCUAUGAAUUUUUAUGGUGGAAAGUGUGUUAUUAUAUUAAAUGUACCCCAAAUUUCUUGAAGUGUUAUAACUGUGGCUUCUUUAUGGUAUUUACAUUUGCUUUACUGAAACAAAAUACAAUUGUCUAUCACUG